AAACUCUAGAAAUUCUUUUUUGUGCCUUUUUUUUCACGAUUCAAUAUUUUUAAUUAACAGCUUUUAUUUAUAAAGAUGAUUCAUUUUAAUUGCAUACAAUAUUAAUUAUUUUCUUUUUCCCCUUUGAUUAAUUUAUAAUAAAACACAAAUGGUGUAUUUUUUACAUCAUCAUAUUCAGCAUAUUAUUCAGAAUCUUUUAGUAACUAUACACUAUUUUUUCAUUUGUCUAUGUUUAAACUUAUGAAAUGGAAGGAAUUUUAAUUUUAAACGUAUGUAUACUUUUUCUUUUGAACUAAGCAACAUAGCAUGCUAAUUGUCAUAUUUUACACUAAUAAUGCAAGAGAGAGUUUACCAUAGCAUGUUGUAAGUUUUAGUUCUUUGAUACUGUCUAAAGGUUUAAAAAAAAACAACAUACGUUUAAUUUUUGCCAAUGUAAAUUUUACUAUUACAAUCUUGCUUUCUUGGAGCUAUGUAAAAGAUCACAAUUGUUCACAAAUCUUUAGAUUUAUAGUGUAUUUUUUCUGAAGUUGUAAUACAAAUAAGUAUUUCAAAUGUGAUUAGAUUAUGAUUAUGCAUUUUUUUUUAGAUUAUUACAUAAGUAAUGUACAUGUUGUAAUGUUUUUUUUUUGAAAACUAAAGGAACAAAGUUCCUUACAAAUUAUGUCUUCUUUUGUUAUUGAGAGUAUGACACUAAAUUAAAUCAAAUUGAUAGUUUUAACAUAGGUGAAACUUUAAAAAAGAAUUAUAUAUGCAUGAUUUUUAAGCAAUUGAUAUAUCUUUUAUGGACAACGUGAAGCAAAAGAAGGGAAAAUGUUUCUUCCCCUGUUACACAAUUAUUGGAUACAACUACACUCAAUAUUUGGUUAGGAGACUGUCCUGAGGAAAAGCCAAAGUUUUCUAAGGAGAGAGCAGAGAUGGGGCUUCAAUUACCAAAAGCGGCCAGUGUGAAAGAACGCAGAGCUAACAAAAGGAAGCACGCCUAUCUGUAGACCCUAUGUGUGCGGCCGGCUUUUCAAAGCGAGAAUUAUGUGCUAAUUUUCAAUCACUAAGGAGAAGAUAUAUAUAUUUAUAAAUACAGUGUCUUGACUGACGAAAGUAUAAUAUGAAAAAUGUUAUAGCAUUCAGCAAAAGUAUCAAGAUUCUAUUCAUGGAAACUUAUAUGUUAACGAAGAAAACCAGAAGACGGUAGAGAGAAUGCACAAAAUAUUGACUACAAAACAUUUACGCAUUUAAAAAAAAGACAAUCAACAACACAAAGUCGUACCACGUAUGUCAGAGUUAUAAAGUGGACUACUACAUAGUGCAGAGACCUGUCACAACUGUGUAAUACCACAAAAGAAUCGGUAAGAUAAAUAGUUCAACAGACUUGAAGUUGAUGGCACUGCAAAAAAUGCAGAUAUUUGAGUAUCUUAAACUUUACAUUUGUUGGAAAUGAAAUCAUAUUAAAACGUAUUUCUUCUUUUUAACAGUCUUAUUCUAUUAUUGUAUAAAAACAAUUUUUGAACAUUUAAGAAAAUAA